rnacentral:rRNA from 1 species
UGGCGGACGGGUGAGUAAUGUCUGGGAAACUGCCCGAUGGAGGGGGAUAACUACUGGAAACGGUAGCUAAUACCGCAUAACGUCGCAAGACCAAAGAGGGGACCUUCGGGCCUCUUGCCAUCGGAUGUGCCCAGAUGGGAUUAGCUAGUAGGUGGGGUAACGGCUCACCUAGGCGGCGAUCCCUAGCUGGUCUGAGAGGAUGACCAGCCACACUGGAACUGAGACACGGUCCAG